rnacentral:rRNA from 1 species
AUUGAACGCUGGCGGCAGGCUUAACACAUGCAAGUCGAGCGAGCGGCGGACGGGUGAGUAAUGUCUGGGAAACUGCCUGAUGGAGGGGGAUAACUACUGGAAACGGUAGCUAAUACCGCAUACCAUCAGAUGUGCCUAGAUGGGAUUAGCUAGUAGGCGGGGUAAUGGCUCACCUAGGCGACGAUCCCUAUCUGGUCUGAGAGGGUGACCGGCCACACUGGAGCUGAGACACGGUCCAAACUCCUACGGAAGGCAGCAGUGGGGAAUAUUGCACAAUGGGCGCAAGCCUGAUGCGGCCAUGCAGCGUGUGGGAAGAAGGCCUUCGGGUUGUAAGACACUUUCAGAGAGGAGGCGUUACUCGCAGAGAAAGCACCGGCUAACUCCGUGCCAGCCGCCGCGGUAAUAC